UACGGGGGGGGGCAAGCGUUGUUCGGAAUUACUGGGCGUAAAGGGCUCGUAGGCGGCCAACUAAGUCAGACGUGAAAUCCCUCGGCUUAACCGGGGAACUGCAUCUGAUACUGGAUGGCUUGAGAUUGGGAGAGGGAUGCGGAAUUCCAGGUGUAGCGGUGAAAUGCGUAGAUAUCUGGAGGAAUACCGGUGGCGAAGGCGGCAUCCUGGACCGA
rnacentral:rRNA from 1 species